rnacentral:rRNA from 1 species
CACGUAGGGCGCGAGCGUUGUCCGGAAUUAUUGGGCGUAAAGAGCUCGUAGGCGGCCUGUUGCGUCCGCUGUGAAAGCCCGGGGCUUAACCCCGGGUGGGCAGUGGAUACGGGCAGGCUAGAGGUAGGUAGGGGAGAAUGGAAUUCCCGGUGUAGCGGUGAAAUGCGCAGAUAUCAGGAGGAACACCGGUGGCGAAGGCGGGUCUCUGGGCCGAUACUGACGCUGAGGAGCGAAAGCGUGGGGAGCGAACAGG